rnacentral:tRNA from 1 species
ACAACGGUGGCUUUUCAGGCCGCAGCCCUUGGAAAAAAGCCAAGCAGGAACU